rnacentral:rRNA from 1 species
UACGUAGGGGGCUAGCGUUGUCCGGAAUCAUUGGGCGUAAAGAGCGUGUAGGCGGCCCGGUAAGUCCGCUGUGAAAGUCGGGGGCUCAACCCUCGAAUGCCGGUGGAUACUGUCGGGCUAGAGUGCGGAAGAGGCGAGUGGAAUCCUGGUGUAGCGGUGAAAUGCGCAGAUAUCAGGAGGAACACCGAUUGCGAAGGCAGCUCGCUGGGACGUAACUGACGCUGAGACGCGAAAGCGUGGGGGAGCAAACAGG